UUUUUUUUAAUCAAUAAAUACAAAAAUAUGUAUUUUGUUUGUUUAAAUGGGAUAUAAAUGUAUAGAAUCAAAUUAUUCCUCUCUCACUCGUGCAAACCUUGGAUAAUUAUGAGGUGAAAAAGAUAUCAAUGGAAUUAUGAUGCUGAAACACAUGUACUAAAGCAUUAAAAACUGAGAAAUAUCAGCCAAAAGUGGGC